rnacentral:rRNA from 1 species
AUGAUGCAUUGUCCCUCUGGGGAAAUGAAUGAUAAAUGCGUCUGCAUAAAAAACAGCGUAUGUUCUAAAUUUUUCCCAAAGGAUUUUAGAGAUACUACUGUGGUUGAUGACAAUGGGUUUGUCUUAUAUCGAUGUCACGAUGACGGUCGAAGGGUAUACAAAAAUGGUCACUACCUUGACAAUAGGCAUGUUCUUCCUUACAAUAUGGUAAUGCUCAAGAAAUUUCAAGGCCAUAUAAAUGUAGAGUGGUGUAAUAAAACUCAGGUUAUGAAAUACCUCUUCAAGUAUGUCACUAAAGGUGCUGAUUAUUCCAAGGUGAUGUUAGAAAGGUUAAAAAAAUAG